UUCCUACGGGGGGCAGCAGUGAGGAAUAUUGGUCAAUGGGCGCGAGCCUGAACCAGCCAAGUCGCGUGAGGGAUGACGGCCCUACGGGUUGUAAACCUCUUUUGUCGGGGAGCAAAUUCCGUUACGUGUAACGGAGUCGAGAGUACCCGAAGAAAAAGCAUCGGCUAACUCCGUGCCAGCAGCCGCGGUAAUACGGAGGAUGCGAGCGUUAUCCGGAUUUAUUGGGUUUAAAGGGUGCGCAGGCGGAAGAUCAAGUCAGCGGUAAAAUUGAGAGGCUCAACCUCUUCGAGCCGUUGAAACUGGUU
rnacentral:rRNA from 1 species